rnacentral:rRNA from 1 species
AUUGAACGCUGGCGGCAUGCCUUACACAUGCAAGUCGAACGGCAGCACGGGAGCAAUCCUGGUGGCGAGUGGCGAACGGGUGAGUAAUAUAUCGGAACGUGCCCAGUCGUGGGGGAUAACGUAGCGAAAGCUACGCUAAUACCGCAUACGAUCUAUGGACGAAAGCGGGGGAUCGCAAGACCUCGCGCGAUUGGAGCGGCCGAUAUCAGAUUAGGUAGUUGGUGGGGUAAAGGCUCACCAAGCCGAAGAUCUGUAGCUGGUCUGAGAGGACGACCAGCCACACUGGGACUGAGACACGGCCCAGAAUCCUACGGGAGGCAGCAGUGGGGAAUUUUGGACAAUGGGCGAAAGCCUGAUCCAGCAAUGCCGCGUGCAGGAUAAAGGCCUUCGGGUUGUAAACUGCUUUUGUACGGAACGAAACGGCGAACUCUAAUACAGUUUGCUAAUGACGGUACCGUAAGAAUAAGCACCGGCUAACUACGUGCCAGCCGCCGCAGUAA